rfam:Ornithorhynchus anatinus chromosome 1, whole genome shotgun sequence.
ACCCUCUCAGGAUCGCACCUGGAGAGUUUCCAGUAUUCUACCAGUCUCGACUAUGAGAGGAAGUGUCAAGUAGAAGCAUAACUAUUCCAUUCCUAGUUUGGGAAGUGGCUAGUGAGUAGAAGGCAAUCUUCUACAAGU